rnacentral:rRNA from 1 species
UACGAAGGGGGCUAGCGUUGCUCGGAAUCACUGGGCGUAAAGCGCACGUAGGCGGAUUGCUAAGUCAGGGGUGAAAUCCCGGAGCUCAACUCCGGAACUGCCUUUGAUACUCCCGCGCUGGAGAGCUGGAGGGGACAUCGGAAUUCACGGUGGAGCAGUGAAAUGCGUGGAUAUCGUGAGGAACACUAGUGGCGAAGGCGGAUGUCUGGACAGUAUCUGACGCUGAGGCACGAAGGCCAGGGGAGCGAACGGG